CAUUACUUCACACUCCCUCAGCUCAAAUCCAGCGACGACUCCAUCAUACCACAAGCAGCAACAUGAGAGCCAAGACCAUGAAGGCUGCGACGGCGACGACGUGCAUGCCGCGGCUCGUCCGCGGAGGCGGCUGCCGCGCGUCCACAGCGCGCCCAGCGGCGUCAGUCUCGCUGCUCGAGCGCAUCCGCGACGUCGUGCUCCGGCUCAUCAUGCUCUCCGCCGUGUCCCGGGCCUCCGUGCAGCGCACCAGCAGC
rnacentral:lncRNA from 1 species